CUGGCUCAGGACGAACGCNGGCGGCGUGCUUAACACAUGCAAGUCGAACGAUGAAGCCUUUCGGGGUGGAUUAGUGGCGAACGGGUGAGUAACACGUGGGCAAUCUGCCCUUCACUCUGGGACAAGCCCUGGAAACGGGGUCUAAUACCGGAUAACACUCUGUCCCGCAUGGGACGGGGUUAAAAGCUCCGGCGGUGAAGGAUGAGCCCGCGGCCUAUCAGCUUGUUGGUGGGGUGAUGGCCUACCAAGGCGACGACGGGUAGCCGGCCUGAGAGGGCGACCGGCCACACUGGGACUGAGACACGGCCCAGACUCCUACGGGAGGCAGCAGUGGGGAAUAUUGCACAAUGGGCGAAAGCCUGAUGCAGCGACGCCGCGUGAGGGAUGACGGCCUUCGGGUUGUAAACCUCUUCAGCAGGAAGAAGCGAAAGGAC
rnacentral:rRNA from 1 species